rfam:Cavia porcellus supercont2_19 genomic scaffold, whole genome shotgun sequence.
GGGGAUUUAGCUCAGUGGCAUAAGCACCUGCCUGGCAAGCAUGAGGUUGCAAGUUCAAUCCCCA